CCCGCAAACGCUCCAGUCGCCAGCGUAGCGGUUGCUAGGCGGGCUUUCUGGGCCUCCACGGCCGCGCGGCCGAGUCACCACUUCGGGACCCGCUAACGGCAGAUGCAGCUGCGGCUGCCGCUUGGGCCGCAAAUACACAAAUGGAGCAAGUACUGUAAGGAAAGAGGAACCCACUGUUGUGAAGGAGGAAGUGCCCAGUGCACAGUUCUGGAACCAGAUCAACCAGAAUCAGGUCCUGCUUCCAUCCCACUCAGCACUGUGAGCUUCAGCAUCUCAUUCCCCUCGUUCAGACCCAGUGUUCCCAUCUUAAAAGGACCUGGGAAGACACUAGAUUCUGAGCAGCGAUGGCAAAAGCAAGGUUAAACGAAGAAGAAAUGAAGCGAGGCUUGGCUGCCCUGCGUGCCCAUCUUUCGCUGUCACAUGACCUCAGAGGAACGAAUGAGCACCACCCAAAUGGCUCUGCCGGAACCGGGACCCGUCCCAAAUGCUGUCUUUCCUGUGACUGUGAGCUCACCUUGCAUGUCCGAUUUCUCCACCCUGAUCUGUCCCAGGGGCAGUGGUGCGGUGCUCCCGUUCCUGCUUGCAAAAUGCAUACCAGACAGAAAAACGACACGUGGAUUUUAGAACUGUGUUUGCACCCAAGCAGGCUCAUACUUACAAAAAAAUCAAUUUAAAAAUUAUUUGAAUUUUCUUUUUUUAACGAUUUAUUUAUUUUAU